AUUGAACGCUGGCGGCAUGCCUUACACAUGCAAGUCGAACGGUAACGGGCCUUCGGGUGCCGACGAGUGGCGAACGGGUGAGUAAUACAUCGGAACGUGCCCGAACGUGGGGGUUAACGAGGCGAAAGCUUUGCUAAUACCGCAUACGAUCUACGGAUGAAAGCAGGGGACCGCAAGGCCUUGCGCGGACGGGGCGGCCGAUGGCAGAUUAGGUAGUUGGUGGGAUAAAAGCUUACCAAGCCGACGAUCUGUAGCUGGUCUGAGAGGAUGAUCAGCCACACUGGGACUGAGACACGGCCCAGACUCCUACGGGAGGCAGCAGUGGGGAAUUUUGGACAAUGGGCGCAAGCCUGAUCCAGCCAUGCCGCGUGCAGGAUGAAGGCCUUCGGGUUGUAAACUGCUUUUGUACGGAACGAAAAGCCUUCUUUUAAUACAGGAGGGUCAUGACGGUACCGUAAGAAUAAGCACCGGCUAACUACGUG
rnacentral:rRNA from 1 species